rnacentral:rRNA from 1 species
UACGUAGGGUGCGAGCGUUGUCCGGAAUUAUUGGGCGUAAAGAGCUCGUAGGCGGUUUGUCACGUCUGCUGUGAAAGCCCGGGGCUUAACUCCGGGUCUGCAUUCGAUACGGGCAGGCUAGAGUUCGGUAGGGGAGAUCGGAAUUCCUGGUGUAGCGGUGAAAUGCGCAGAUAUCAGGAGGAACACCGGUGGCGAAGGCGGAUCUCUGGGCCGAUACUGACGCUGAGGAGCGAAAGCGUGGGGAGCGAACAGG